UUGGUGAUCAGUCAAAAGGGGGAACAAUAUGUAGCCAAACCUGUGGCAACAAACAAUACAACCCCCCUUUGCCAUCUUCCCACCUAAACCUCACUGUUCUCAUUAUCAUCCUCUUCCUCCUAAAUUCAAUUUCAGAACCCUUCCUCUUCCUUUCUUCACUUCCCAAUUCAAUGAACACCCAAAACCCAAUACUCACGUGCUUGCCACGUGUCCCUUGAAAUUACCCUUUUUCCUUCAUCUGAUUCCUCUACUCACCCACAAAUCCACUUCCCCCCCCCCCCCNNNN
rnacentral:lncRNA from 1 species